AUGGAAAUCGUGACCCGCGCUUCUCAGCAUCCCGUAGCAGCGGAGGGCAGAAACCCACGCGGGACGGGCAGCAUCCCACACCGCCGACAUCCUUCUUCGCGUGGAUCCCACGAGGGGCCACGAACCAAGGACAGAUCCACCCUGUCCCUUCCCGGGGCCGCACCUGGCAGUGCCACGCCGAGCCGGGGCCUCACUCCCCCCCAGCCACGCCUGUCUCUCCUCUCAGUGGCGGGAUGCUACAGCGGGACUGUUCUGAGCGAGCGCCGCGCGGGGCGGAGGAGCCAGGGAGGGAAAGCCGGAGCGGCGGACAGGCGCUACACCCCGUGUCUGUCCCGAACACACACUCUGGGGGGCAGGCCGGAUAGAUCGGAUGCCGGCUUGAUCGACUUCCCUUCGCACGGUGCCGGCGGGAUCGCGCCCGGAUUCAGCUCAGGGGAAGGCAAGAGCGUGGUUCAUACAUUCCCGGCCGCAGCCAUGAGCAGGUGGCACCCCCGGCUCCCGAAGGCUCCCGGCCCCGCUCCCGCCAGCGCCCUCGGAGAGCAGAGUGGGCUCGGUUCCAGCGAGACUCUUUUCCCGCUCUUCCCUCCCGUGCUGCUUCCCUCACACCCUCUCUCCCCGUCCCUGUGA
rnacentral:lncRNA from 1 species